AUUGAACGCUGGCGGCAGGCCUAACACAUGCAAGUCGAGCGGAGCGGCGGACGGGUGAGUAAUGCCUAGGUAUCUGCCUGGUCGUGGGGGAUAACGUCCGGAAACGGGCGCUAAUACCGCAUACUAUCAGAUGAGCCUAGGGCUGAUUAGCUAGGUGGUGGGGUAAAGGCCUACAAAGCCGACGAUCCGUAGCUGGUCUGAGUGGAUGAUCAGUCACACUGGAACUGAGACACGGUCCAGACUCCUACGGGAGGCAGCAGUGGGGAAUAUUGGACAAUGGGCGAAAGCCUGAUCCAGCCAUGCCGCGUGUAUGAAGAAGGUCUUCGGAUUGUAAAGCACUUUAAGUUGGGAGGCGUUACCGACAGAAUAAGCACCGGCUAACUUCGUGCCAGCAGCCGCGGUAAUUC
rnacentral:rRNA from 1 species